AAAUAUGAAGUAUUAUACACUUAGUUUCGACCUAAUUUUUGGUAAUUUUUACCCAUAU
rnacentral:tRNA from 1 species